rnacentral:misc_RNA from 1 species
CAACCCUCAGAGCCCCCUGCUUGCAGGUGCGGCGCUGGUGUUGGGGAUCGGCCCGCCUCCGCGCGGUGCCGUCCCCCAAAUACAGUGGCGGUCUCGCUGCAGCCUCCCCUGCGUAGUAGCAACACUCGCAUGCGGAGCGCGGCGCGGCCACGCCGUAAAACCCCCGACUUUCUGAA